rnacentral:rRNA from 3 species
AAAUUGAAGAGUUUGAUCAUGGCUCAGAUUGAACGCUGGCGGCAGGCCUAACACAUGCAAGUCGAACGGUAACAGGAAGCAGCUUGCUGUUUCGCUGACGAGUGGCGGACGGGUGAGUAAUGUCUGGGAAACUGCCUGAUGGAGGGGGAUAACUACUGGAAACGGUAGCUAAUACCGCAUAACGUCGCAAGACCAAAGAGGGGGACCUUCGGGCCUCUUGCCAUCGGAUGUGCCCAGAUGGGAUUAGCUAGUAGGUGGGGUAACGGCUCACCUAGGCGACGAUCCCUAGCUGGUCUGAGAGGAUGACCAGCCACACUGGAACUGAGACACGGUCCAGACUCCUACGGGAGGCAGCAGUGGGGAAUAUUGCACAAUGGGCGCAAGCCUGAUGCAGCCAUGCCGCGUGUAUGAAGAAGGCCUUCGGGUUGUAAAGUACUUUCAGCGGGGAGGAAGGGAGUAAAGUUAAUACCUUUGCUCAUUGACGUUACCCGCAGAAGAAGCACCGGCUAACUCCGUGCCAGCAGCCGCGGUAAUACGGAGGGUGCAAGCGUUAAUCGGAAUUACUGGGCGUAAAGCGCACGCAGGCGGUUUGUUAAGUCAGAUGUGAAAUCCCCGGGCUCAACCUGGGAACUGCAUCUGAUACUGGCAAGCUUGAGUCUCGUAGAGGGGGGUAGAAUUCCAGGUGUAGCGGUGAAAUGCGUAGAGAUCUGGAGGAAUACCGGUGGCGAAGGCGUCCCCCUGGACGAAGACUGACGCUCAGGUGCGAAAGCGUGGGGAGCAAACAGGAUUAGAUACCCUGGUAGUCCACGCCGUAAACGAUGUCGACUUGGAGGUUGUGCCCUUGAGGCGUGGCUUCCGGAGCUAACGCGUUAAGUCGACCGCCUGGGGAGUACGGCCGCAAGGUUAAAACUCAAAUGAAUUGACGGGGGCCCGCACAAGCGGUGGAGCAUGUGGUUUAAUUCGAUGCAACGCGAAGAACCUUACCUGGUCUUGACAUCCACGGAAGUUUUCAGAGAUGAGAAUGUGCCUUCGGGAACCGUGAGACAGGUGCUGCAUGGCUGUCGUCAGCUCGUGUUGUGAAAUGUUGGGUUAAGUCCCGCAACGAGCGCAACCCUUAUCCUUUGUUGCCAGCGGUCCGGCCGGGAACUCAAAGGAGACUGCCAGUGAUAAACUGGAGGAAGGUGGGGAUGACGUCAAGUCAUCAUGGCCCUUACGACCAGGGCUACACACGUGCUACAAUGGCGCAUACAAAGAGAAGCGACCUCGCGAGAGCAAGCGGACCUCAUAAAGUGCGUCGUAGUCCGGAUUGGAGUCUGCAACUCGACUCCAUGAAGUCGGAAUCGCUAGUAAUCGUGGAUCAGAAUGCCACGGUGAAUACGUUCCCGGGCCUUGUACACACCGCCCGUCACACCAUGGGAGUGGGUUGCAAAAGAAGUAGGUAGCUUAACCUUCGGGAGGGCGCUUACCACUUUGUGAUUCAUGACUGGGGUGAAGUCGUAACAAGGUAACCGUAGGGGAACCUGCGGUUGGAUCACCUCCUUA